rnacentral:ncRNA from 1 species
GACAAAGCGAUGACAGGAACAAGUAGUGUUUAUCUCCCUGUUUCAGAGAGCUAGUGGUCGGUGCGAACUAGCACAUAGAUAAACGCGAAUUACCUCCUCGAGCAGCUUUUGCGAACGGCAGUAGCCAAGUAGCAAAAGACGGCGUGCGCCGUUAUCCAAAUGAGGUGAGAAAGCGCGAAGCUUUCUAAGUAGGGUGGUACCGCGGUUGUCACUCGUCCCUUCA